UCAAACUACCGCCAAAGUACGGUUUGAAAAGUUUCACACGCGUUACGACUCACGCGCGGCGCGAUGCACUGUCGGAAAGUGCGCUACCGAUCUAGUACUUCAUUCACUGAUACUGUUAUCAUUCUUCAUCUGUGUAUGUGCAAACUUUGCCGAACGAUCGAACUGUCAAACCAGAUCAAAACAAAUUAAAAGUUAUUAUGGACAAACGUGGUUAUGGUAUGUUUUAUGAGGAUAUUAUGCGAAAAAAGGUACAACAUACCCAACAUCGCGGCUCAGUACACCAGCAUAAACGCGCAGCAUAACUUGACGAAGCUGUAAUAGUCAUGCUCGCAGCUGGGUCCUGCAGUCCGCCACCACAUUUGAGCACUGACUCGCCAUCCCGUCGAAUGUUCAACGAGCAGCCUCGAAAAUCGGCAACCUGUGCCUCAACAUCAACAAAUUUCAACAUUAUUUGUCCCGGGACUCCCACUUUCAACGUUGCCACUCAUGGGCUAAUUAUGGGUCCUGCAACUCGCAGUACUGACCCUGGAGCAAACGGACACAGACAACUAGACUGGUUUGGAGUGACAACGUACGACCUUGGACAACAUAGACCUCUAGAAAAACA